ACAGAUUUUCAAUUUCGUUUAAAUUCUGCUCUUUGGUCUGGUUAACAGCUAGCGCCGUACAAGGUACAGAGCUUUCGGCAUUUUGCAGUGCUCCAGUCUCUCAUGUCCCCGAGAGACUGAUCUCCAGCUUCACUAAGCCUAAAAAUUUGAUUUCUUCUUCAGGGGAACGCUUAGCCUUGUCAGUUUUGAUCUGGAACCUGAUCACUCAAAGUCCCCGCCAUCCCUUCUGCCAAUUGCCGCUGGGAUCUCCUGAUGCAACAAUGCAGCUGCAGGGGAUAGUUAGCAGCAAGAACGUCUUCUAUGAAUCCUUUCCUUACUCGUAGGAUUCAGCCCAAAGACACCACUAAUUUGCUCUGAAGGAAAAUGUCAGGCCACCUGAGAGUAAAUAAACGAUUUGCUGUUUAUUUGUGGUCCAUUCCAGUUGUUUUGUUUACAGGCAGGCCCAAGCAUAGUAGCCUUCGUUGCCAUCCAGUGGUAAGGAUUGAUUUAAAAGUUUCCUAUCCAACUCUUCUUCCAGUAAUUUUUCUUUUCAAGUUAAUCCAUUUGUUUUGUGUUCACUGUCUUAGUAAAUAUGAUAGAUUACUGGAUUUGGAAAUUGAGGGGCUUAAACUCCUCAUAUCAGAACUCACAACAAAACUCUGAUUGUAAUUUCCUCACUGAAUUGUGAAGUCCAAGGCAAUGGUUAGUAAACUGCAUAA